UGUCCGCCACCUAUAUGCUUUGAAUGGUGAGAGAUGACCUCAAAUGAUUCCGAGUUGUACUGUCCUUUGAAUCUAGUCAUCUUCUACUUACAUCUUCCACCCCUUGUCUGAGCUCUUCCGUCUCCAAUACUUCAAACAUCCAUCUUUUGGCCCAAUAUGGGAGAUCACCAUAACACCGUCGCCAUCAUAAUAUUGGCCAUUAAUGUUUGCAGCUAUCUUCUGAUAUGGCAUCCUUGCUUGGGUCUGUCACUCCAUGGAGAGCUGUCGGAAGAACAAGAUCACCACCUGGUCUUUCCGCGGGAGGCCGUCAAUGUAGCGCCGAGUCCCGCCACCACCACACCGUUGCCUCGUGGGCUCAGCCGCGAAAGGAUCUCGUGCAGACGUGGGAGGGAAGAAUGACUGCGCUGUGUGUCUAAAGGAGUUCGACGACGUCGUGACGAGCUACUGUUGAUCCUGAUCCUCCAUACUGUUGACUCGGUUGGCAAAGCAGGUGCUUCGAAAUAUCAUGUUUUUGUGGACCUUCCAUGCCGAGUCUCUCGGCUGCAUCCACCACAUCGUUCACCUUCUUCAGGGUGAGAUCUUCUUGAUGAGAUACUUGCAAUUAUUUCUUUGGGCUUUCCCCCUUUCUUCUACCUCAAAAAGAAAAUUGUUUUGUGGGUAGACGAUUCCUCUAUACCAACCCAAUAAUUAAUGGGGGCAGGUUCAUCACGACCGGCUUCACAGGGAUAUGAAACCCACGAAGCAGGGUAUAUCUAUCAUUGCUGACGUGUCAAUCCCUGAUAGGAUCGCAGUGUGGAGACCACGAAGGCCCUGGCCCACGCCAACAAUGAAAUCGAUGAGAACCUUAUCUUCGAGUUUUUAUAUGUCACGAGGAUGAAAGGCGGACGGUUCCCACGUCAAUGGUUUGGCGUCAACGUUACGGAGUUCUAGACAACGACACGAAGGCGGAAGGUUCCAUGUUGCAACAUUGAGGACAAGCUUUAAUCUUGGAUUCUCCUGUACUGCGUGUGACUCCUCUUCGUCCCCAUCUCGUCGCUAGUGGAGUUGCUUUCUAAGUUCAUUAAUGACCCCUCAUGUCAUCACCGAACUUGUUGAUUCUUCUCCUACCAUACAUAUAUAUAUAUAUAUAUAUAUAUAUAUAUAUAUAUGAUUAACAAGUUAGGAUUAGGAUUUUAUUAGUAGCUAACACCAGGACUUGCACCACUUCACAUCACAUCCGCAGGACCACUCAACGACCGAUGAGGUGGGAAUUAACCAAGGUGAAUUGGCAUAGGGUUUGAUUAAUUGGGGGGUGAUAUUAAAUACCAGGUGGGCUUGGCAAGUUAAUUGACACGCAGCAACACAUUCACAAGGUCAAGCAGCAAGUCUUCUCUCUUCUGGAGAUACUCGACAACUCUAUAAACAAACAUCAUCUCCGGGUCUCCCAGAAACCACCAGUCUGCUCUGAAUGGUGGCUGCCAAGGAAUGCCUGCUCUCUUCUUGAUCAUCUUGUGGAUCUUCUGCACGGUCAUAUUGCUUGCCAUCUCGUACUCCUGCCUCAGAUCCACAUGUGAUCCUCCGCCCGGCGACCGGACUGCAGCUGCUGCCACCAGUACCGCCGCCGCCACCUCCAGGCUGCGGAGCUCUAGCACCGCAGCCAACACCAGCAGGACAGCCGGCGGUGGCGCCGGUCGGGAUGUCCUCUCGGCGCUGCCGGUCUUCGCCUACUCGACGGCGCAGAAGAAGCUCAACUGCUCGGUGUGCCUGAUGGAUCUCGAGGAGGGGGAGAAGGGGCGGUUCCUCCCCAGAUGUCUGCAUGUUUUCCAUGUGGAUUGCAUAGAUGUUUGGCUGGCCACUCACUUGGACUGCCCAGUCUGCCGAGCUUCGGUUGAUCCUGAAGCUCCUGAACUUGCGGUCUGAGGUUUUGGCCUCCAAGAAUUCUGGUUUUCUCACUGUAAACGUCCUCAGAUUGCCAAUACUGUAAGAACAUCAUGCAGGAAUACAGAAGAUUUGAUCGA